AUUUUCUUUUGUAACAAAAUAAUAUUUAUUUUUUGCGUGCUUGAUCUAUUUUUGGAAAUUUUAUAAAUAGUUGACAAGCAUAGCAUACGGACAUUGUUAAACAUUGGUAGUUCCUCUUCAACAUGGACAAGUUUGUCGUUCCAGCUUGAACGUAUUUUUCACAUUUUAGAUAAAACCUGCAAUGCCUCCACUACAAUUGCAUCUUCAAAUGCAUUGACUGAAUCCAAUGAGCCCAGCAUGAAACGAAAAAAAUCACAUCAGAAGUUUGGUCACAUUUUGAGAAACUGAUGAACAUGCUUGCCAAAUGCCGUCUUUGCGGAAAAGAGUACCGCACGAGCGGCAACACUUCCAAUAUGAUGGAACACUUAAGACGUGGUAAGAGACCACGUUGAAACAACUGCUCCAUUCACCUCAUGACAUCGAUCCGCUACAAUUUUGGAAGCUGUUGUGCUAUUAAAUACUUAGCUAUUCCAGCUAGCUCUGUGGAAAGUGAGCGCAUUUUUAGCAAGGCGGGUGAAUUGAUUUCUGAGCGCCGGGCGUCUUUGAAAGAAAAAAAUGUCAAUCAAUUGAUUUUUUUUAACAAAAAUGAAUGGCUGUUCCCUGAAAACAACGAGACUAAUAUUUUAGUAUUAUCUUAUUUUUGUAAAUAUUGAAUAUUUACUAUAACUUUAUUAAUUUGUUAUAUUUUUAUUUUUUAAUUUGUCGAUAAGAAAGAAAAUGGAUCUCUUUUAUAUUUAAGUUAUCUUUAAAAUCGUUAUGUUGAAUUUGUGCUAUGUUUUGGAAAUGAAAAUUUAAUGAAUUAAACUUUUAUAUUUUCUCUA